GAUAAAAGAGAAAAGAAAGGAAACAACUAAGAGAGAAAAAGAAACGGUGAAGGAAAAAGAGAGAAGCAACUCGUGCACCACCUGGUCAGAUCCGAUCUCCGACAUCCUUCGAUUACCGCCAGAAAACUACAGCCAACUCACAACCAAGAGGGCCUAAAGACAUUCUGAUCGCAUUGUUAAAUAGGUAUUGACACGAAUUUAUUGACAAAUAGGUCAAUCCGAGAUUUAAGCAAGAGCAUGAUCAAGUUUUCAUCUUAGCCCUCGACAAUUCAAAAGUAUUGCCAAGUAGGAUCAAGAAACGUUGCUGCUGGGGGACAUGUAAAACAAGUAUUUAGUCAAGAUUUUAAGAACUUCAAAGUUGGGAAUUGACUACUCCCUCUUUAGUGUAAGGUCACAUUAUGUUAUAAAGUUUUUAAAUCUUUAAGGCUUUAACGGUAUCUUUAUGUCAAUUAUGCUUCCGCACUUUUAAUUUUUUAUAGUCUUCGCAUCUCUUGGACUAAGUAAUGAGGCAUCGGGUGGAGGUUAG